UCGAAAGGCAGGAGUGCCUGCAAGGGAGCGCGGAGACAGGUGGUGCAUGGCUGUCGUCAGCUCGUGUCGUGAGAUGUUGGGUUAAGUCCCGCAACGAGCGCAACCCUCACCUCUUGUUGCCAUCAGGUCAUGCUGGGCACUCUAGAGGAACUGCCCCGGUCAACGGGGAGGAAGGCGGGGAUGACGUCAAGUCAUCAUGCCCCUUACGUCCUGGGCUACACACGUGCUACAAUGGCCGGUACAAAGGGAUGCCACACCGCGAGGUAGAGCUAAACCCAAAAAGCCGGUCUAAGUUCGGAUUGGAGUCUGCAACUCGACUCCAUGAAGGAGGAAUCGCUAGUAAUCGCGUAUCAGCACGACGCGGUGAAUACGUUCCCGGGCCUUGUACACACCGCCCGUCACACCACGAAAGCCAG
rnacentral:rRNA from 1 species